rnacentral:tRNA from 1 species
GGGUCGUUAGCUCAGUCGGUAGAGCAGUUGAUUUCGAAUCCUGCACGACCCACCA